rnacentral:lncRNA from 1 species
GUGUGCAUCGUUCAACUUCUAACCAAAGUGCUUCUUCUUCGAAGCACGAGUACCAGGAGCACCAAAGUGGGUGAGAUUAGUAGCUGCAAUAAAGAAUGUGAGCGCAAUCGUAGCACCAAAGAAGAACGUGAAAGCAAUAGCAAUCACAAAACCGGAUAACGUGACACCAGAGAACGUACCAGUGGAAUUAGCAGUCAGAGUACUCGCAGCCGGAGUAGUGGCAGCCGGAGUACCAGUGGCAGCCGGAGGCAUC